UGCUCUAAGUUUGAAGAAAAAGUUGUCUCCGUGGCAAUCAAAAAAGUGUCAAUCAAACCCAGGUGUUUCCUCGCAUUUCCAAGCUUUACGGCAACGUUACAAUGACGGGGAUUAUUUCCAAACUAAUCCAAAAUAAUGUUAUCGUGGAUACUCAAUUUAGAAUAUCGUUGAAAUAUUGUACGAUCAGUGUUAUUGCUGGAAUAAAGAAAAAAUAUAAUGAUAUGUAUUUAGCUAUUUAAAGUUUGUAUUGUAUCUUUGCAUUGUUUAUAUGUUU